UACGUAGGUGGCAAGCGUUGUCCGGAAUUAUUGGGCGUAAAGCGCGCGCAGGCGGCCUUUUAAGUCUGAUGUGAAAGCCCACGGCUCAACCGUGGAAGGUCAUUGGAAACUGAAAGGCUUGAGUACAGAAGAGGAAAGCGGAAUUCCACGUGUAGCGGUGAAAUGCGUAGAGAUGUGGAGGAACACCAGUGGCGAAGGCGGCUCACUGGCCCGAUACUGACGCUGAGGUGCGAAAGCGUGGGGAGCAAACAGG
rnacentral:rRNA from 1 species